ACGGUUUCCCCUUUGGGGCGGGUUCACAGGUGGUGCAUGGUUGUCGUCAGCUCGUGUCGUGAGAUGUUGGGUUAAGUCCCGCAACGAGCGCAACCCCUGUUCUAUGUUGCCAGCACGUGAUGGUGGGGACUCAUGGGAGACUGCCGGGGUCAACUCGGAGGAAGGUGGGGACGACGUCAAAUCAUCAUGCCCCUUAUGUCUUGGGCUUCACGCAUGCUACAAUGGCCGGUACAAUGGGUUGCGAUACUGUGAGGUGGAGCUAAUCCCAAAAAGCCGGUCUCAGUUCGGAUUGGGGUCUGCAACUCGACCCCAUGAAGUUGGAGUCGCUAGUAAUCGCAGAUCAGCAACGCUGCGGUGAAUACGUUCCCGGGCCUG
rnacentral:rRNA from 1 species